AUACGUAGGUGACAAGCGUUAUCCGGAUUUACUGGGCGUAAAGGGCGUGUAGGCGGUCUUGCAAGUCAGAAGUGAAAUUCCUGAGCUCAACUCGGGCGCUGCUUCUGAAACUGCAGGACUUGAGUGCUGGAGGGGAUAGCGGAAUUCCUAGUGGAGCGGUAAAAUGCGCAGAUAUUAGGAAGAACACCGGUGGCGAAGGCGGCUAUCUGGACAGUAACUGACGCUGAGGCGCGAAAGCGUGGGGAGCAAACAGGAUUAGAUACCCUGGUAGUCCACGCCGUAAACGAUGAGUGCUAGGUGUCGGGGGUCAAACCUCGGUGCCGCAGUUAACACAUUAAGCACUCCGCCUGGGGAGUACGGCCGCAAGGCUGAAACUCAAAUGAAUUGACGGGG
rnacentral:rRNA from 1 species